AUCUGUGCGGCCCUCACUCUGCUUUGACCUCAGUCCAGCUGCUGUGCUUUCCUCUACAACUUUGAGGUCCCUCCGUCCGGGCUGAUCUGCUGGGUGAAGCUGAGAGUUGGAAUUUUUUAUCCACUCACUCUGCACUGAGUUAUGGAGGAUCAGUGGCAUAUGUUGGCUCAAGCUACUGCCUGUUUUCCUCCUAGCAGCUAGACAGUGACAGAUCUGCCAGAGCUGCAAGACCAGCAAGACCUCAUUCUCCUUACCUGCCUUGAUAACAGCUAUCCUAGUAGAUGUGAAGUUGUUUCCUAUGGAGAAAUGGAUUUAUAUUUCUUAGUGACUAAUGCUGUUGAGCAUCUCUUAAUGUACUUAUUAUCCAUUUGUAUAUAUUCUUUGGAAGCUUGGCAAUUUAGAGUCUGCCUAUUUUUAAUUAUUUGUCCUUUUUUUAGAAUUGUGAAAGUUCUUUAUGUGUUGUAGAUACAAGGCAGUAAUAAGAUUUGUGAUUUAUGAAUAUUAUUUCUCAUUCUGUUCAUUGCCUUUUCACUUCCUUCUGACUCUCAUUUAUGCUGGAGUUUUUGUUUGUCUUGUGAGUUUAUAUUUUUAAAACCUUUCUGUGAGACUUCAGUGAAUGCUAUUUUCAAGGAACAUUUUUUAUAGUGAAUAUCUGUAUGACUUUUGCCAAAUAUAUGAGCCUACAUGUUUAAGUAGCAAUUUAAAAGAAAAUUCUUGCCUUGAUUUGUUGGAACAUAAAAAGAUCAUUUAUGACAAGACAAACAUAAUUUUUAGGAAGCAUUUAUUUUCAUCUCCACCAAGAACCAGGUUUGAGAGACAUUUUUUGUUUGCUUGCUUGCUUGCUUCUUACUUCUGCUCGGUGGGCUUUCUUCUAAUUUUCUAUUGUUUUUCAGAAAUCGAGGCUUUAGCAUAGCUUCCAGUCAAUCUCCAUCCUUGUUCACGCUCAAAGUCUAGAAUCUCCCAAAUUCCAAGUUCUACUUGUAGACUCUCUAGGUAAUGAUAUUCUGUAGAUGUUCUCAGAAUGGGCAAUGUUUUAACACUGGUUUAUUUUCCUGGAGUUUAAGGUUCAAACUGAGCUGCAGUUAUGAUUUUUCACUGUAACAUCUAUAAUUGAUCUAAAAGUUAUUUUUAAAUGAUUUUUGCAAUUUUAUGUAUUGUGUAACUCAAUCUUGAGUGUGCUAUACUGACAGACACAAAAAUCUCACAUAAUAUUUUAUCAACUGGCAUAUAAUCCCAUCCACCACUGGAUAUGUAUUUUGCCACAUAAAUGGUUAGGAUUCCUUUAAUAUGGGUAUGCUGUAAUAUAAGGCUGAAUUUUUUUUUUGUUUGUUUACUAAAUAGAAAUAAAUAUAUGAUAU